rnacentral:rRNA from 1 species
AACGCUAGCUACAGGCUUAACACAUGCAAGUCGAGGGGCAGCAUGGUCUUAGCUUGCUAAGGCCGAUGGCGACCGGCGCACGGGUGAGUAACACGUAUCCAACCUGCCGUCUACUCUUGGACAGCCUUCUGAAAGGAAGAUUAAUACAAGAUGGCAUCAUGAGUCCGCAUGUUCACAUGAUUAAAGGUAUUCCGGUAGACGAUGGGGAUGCGUUCCAUUAGAUAGUAGGCGGGGUAACGGCCCACCUAGUCUUCGAUGGAUAGGGGUUCUGAGAGGAAGGUCCCCCACAUUGGAACUGAGACACGGUCCAAACUCCUACGGGAGGCAGCAGUGAGGAAUAUUGGUCAAUGGGCGAGAGCCUGAACCAGCCAAGUAGCGUGAAGGAUGACUGCCCUAUGGGUUGUAAACUUCUUUUAUAAAGGAAUAAAGUCGGGUAUGGAUACCCGUUUGCAUGUACUUUAUGAAUAAGGAUCGGCUAACUCCGUGCCAGCAGCCGCGGUAAUACGGAGGAUCCGAGCGUUAUCCGGAUUUAUUGGGUUUAAAGGGAGCGUAGAUGGAUGUUUAAGUCAGUUGUGAAAGYUYGCSSCUCAACCGUAAAAUUGCAGUUGAUACUGGAUAUCUUGAGUGCAGUUGAGGCAGGCGGAAUUCGUGGUGUAGCGGUGAAAUGCUUAGAUAUCACGAAGAACUCCGAUUG